AGGUAGUAAAAUUUCUCAUAAACCUAUAUAUAAUGGCAGCAUUUAUAAAAAUUAGAGAAAUCUGUCUUUUAAUCGAUAUUCCACGAUACUUUUUACUUUAAAUAAAAACUUUUAUACCGCCGUCUUAAGAAUUAAAUUUUUAAAUUUAUUCAAAAUAAUAUCUAAAAAGUCAGGUCAAGGUGCAGUCUAAUUUAAAGAUUAGAUAGAUUACAUUAAAUAUAUUUAAGGAUUUUAUUUUUUAAAAAAUAGAUAAAAAAGAAUCUAAUUGUAAUGAAAUAAUAAUAUUUUUUCAUAAAUUUUCUUUAACUGUGC
rnacentral:rRNA from 1 species